rnacentral:lncRNA from 1 species
CAAAAUCACAAAGCAAAUAUAAGGUGAAGUCAGGAGUUGACCUCAAGACUUGAACUCAGGUCUGUUUAAUUUCACAGCCUUUGGUUAUGUACUAGGAUACACUGCCAUACCGAAGGAUGAGCUGACAUGACAUUCACAAAGCGCCUAGAUCAAUGUCUGAUGCCUAGCACUCUGUAAGUGGUUGUCAUUGUUAGUCAAUCUAAAUCUGCUAACCAGAGCCCUUUUACCAUUUCUUUUACUUCCCUCAGGUGAUGAGGGUCUGAAAACUCUGUUCAGCUCUCACUACUAUCAGUCUCUUUCUCUAGGUUAAAGGCCCUAUGAGUAAUUCACACACAGAGGUGAAUGACUAACAUCUUAACCCUUCUUCUGGAACCUUCUAUGGAAUCACAAAAUGUUAGCCCUCUGGAGGACAUAAGGGAUCAUGACUUCAACCCUUUAUUUGCAGAAGAAGAAACAAGUCCAAAGAGAUAAGGAUGCCUGUUCCUGGUUCGGCACAGUGCGGGCUCAGACAACGCUGUUCACAAUUGGACUGUUUAUUUGCAAUAAGGGAGAGACGUGGCCUCAUAAACCACAGAAACUGAGCAACACUGCCCCAAAAGUUCUCUGCCUCUGCCGUCGUCCCUCCCCACCCACGCACGCACCACCACCUCCCUGGAGAAGGGGGACCGGCUCCGUUUCCGUCCUGAGAGCCGAACGUCAGUGCCCAGCGUUUACACAGCAAGGAACAGCCCCUGUACUCGGGCAGGGGGCCGGCUCCUCUUACGACUGUGUCUUCCACUCAUUCAGCUCUGAGCCCUUCCACCCCUUCUCUUUAGCAGAGUGAACACCAACCAGUCACAUCGACCUAGAAGCACCUCAUUUACUUUAACAGCAAAUAAGAGAUCCUUUGAGAGGAAAGAACUCAGUCACCUUCCUUCACGGGUCUUUAAAACAUGAUCGUGGUAAUGAUAAAGAGAGCAACAACCUCCUCCCUCCGCCACUUACUAUUAAAUGAAUUAAUAUAUGUAAAGUGCUUCUUAAUGCUUGAUAUGUAUUAAAUGGGCAAUAUAUGUUAAAUAUUAGCUAUUAUUAUUAUCGUCAUUAUCAUGUAUUAAGCACAUACUAAGUAUCAGGGCACUAUGCUAAAUCCUUUCCAGACAUAAUCUCAUUUAAUCAUUGUAAAAACUCCGUGGGAUUGCAGAUAUUUCACACCCAGUUUACAGCUGAG